UACGUAGGGUGCAAGCGUUGUCCGGAAUUAUUGGGCGUAAAGAGCUCGUAGGCGGUUUGUCGCGUCUGCUGUGAAAACGCGAGGCUCAACCUCGCGCCUGCAGUGGGUACGGGCAGACUAGAGUGCGGUAGGGGAGAUUGGAAUUCCUGGUGUAGCGGUGGAAUGCGCAGAUAUCAGGAGGAACACCGAUGGCGAAGGCAGAGCUC
rnacentral:rRNA from 1 species